UUCUGGCUCAGGAUGAACGCUAGCUACAGGCUUAACACAUGCAAGUCGAGGGGCAGCAUUGAGAUAGCUUGCUAUUCAGAUGGCAACCGGCGCACGGGUGAGUAACGCGUAUCCAACCUUCCCCUUAGUAGAGGACAGCCCGGCGAAAGUCGGAUUAAUACUCUAUGUUGUAUUUUGAGGACAUCUGACGAAUACCAAAGAUUCAUCGCUAAGGGAUGGGGAUGCGUCUGAUUAGCUUGUUGGCGGGGUAACGGCCCACCAAGGCGACGAUCAGUAGGGGUUCUGAGAGGAAGGUCCCCCACAUUGGUACUGAGACACGGACCAAACUCCUACGGGAGGCAGCAGUGAGGAAUAUUGGUCAAUGGGCGAGAGCCUGAACCAGCCAAGUAGCGUGCAGGAAAGACUGCCCUAUGGGUUGUAAACUGCUUUUAUCAGGGAAUAAAGUGCGGCACGUGUGCUGUUUUGUAUGUACCUGAUGAAUAAGGACCGGCUAAUUCCGUGCCAGCCGCUGC
rnacentral:rRNA from 1 species